CUUCAUCCUAGAAUAGGAGGUGGCUGACAGUGUUACUCACAAAGAGUAGACCACAGAAGGAAAAUGACAAUUGCCAACAGCUAAUCCCUGUUUCCACCAGAAAUUUACUUCCUUGCACCUGCAGCACUGUGGAACCAUCAGUCAUCUCUUGGAUUUAGGGCCCACCGGAAAGCAGACUUGGAUACUGAAAGCAAGAAACCCCACACAAGUCUAAGCCGCAUGAUCCAACCAUUCCUGGGUUACUGGCAGAGUUAACUGAGAUGGGAACAACCGCUCUCAGGAAGCGAAGAGUGAACAAAGGGAAG
ensembl:lncRNA